ensembl:lncRNA
AGGCCAGAUUACUUCCUGGUUUAAAUGUAGGGUUUGCCGCAGGUUUCCCGAGCUCCACACUUGUCUCGGGAACGACUACGGCUGGACUGUGCGCUGAAGGACUAGUCGUGGAGCUCCCACCCCAUCUGUGCAGUCUCCAGGAACGGGGAAGUGAUGUCGGCAUUUCGGUGAUCGGAGUUCUAGCCACUGCUGUUUUUUCCCCUUUGCAAAUAUAUUUUGUAUUUAUGGUUACUAUGUUUUAUCCAAUAUUUUGAUCAUGCAUUGUUAGCUAAUUUGUUUUCUCGCCAGACAAGUUGUUGUUUGUUUGUUCUUUUCCUUCGUAAACCAACUGGAGCGGGUCCUACUCUGGGGUCCUCAAUGCCAGUACAGGUGGGCUGAUCAUAGGUCUAUAGGUCGUGGUUCACUAGGUGGAGGGCUUCCUCAUUCAUAGUUUAUUUGACAUGUUUUAUAUUUGUUGUGUGUUUUGCUUUGCAGUGCGUGUGUGUGACUUUUCCUUUCUGGUCCCUGGUGGUGGCCCCUUUCCCCUUCACUCCACCACUCCUUUAGCCCUCCCUGAUAGUCACCUUGUGCUGGUAAAACACCUCAGUGUAACGACGUACAUUUUUAGCAUAGAUAUUUUUGUAUUAAAAGCCUUAUUUUUAAAUCUAGACCGUUAACCAACAUGAAGCCUAUCCAUAAAUCUCCUCAGUGUGCAGUAGUAUAUACAAAUAGUAUAUCUCUGUUAUUCUCAGAGAAAGACAUAACAUUUUUUGAAAGAGUCAGACUACCUGGAGCAGCUACAGCGGGUGAUGACACACAGCAUCUGGAGCACCAGGAGCCAAGAUCUCUAAGCAACAUUCGGACACAAACCAGAGAUUCUGCAAUAAAUGUCAGUGAAUCUACAGACAACCGUUGUACUGAUUUUGUGCUGAAUAAAAGAGGGAAUGCUUAAAUACAUGGAUUUUGUAUGUUUUUUUCAAUGUGACUGUUGUGUGUAAUGAGCACAUUCAAUCACGUUCAGAUGAGAUGGUAUGCUGCAGUUUCUGCAUGUUUGCCAGGUGGUGUGACAAAAGAAAAUGUUAAUUCAUUUAAUUUAAUUAAUAUAUUUAAUGGGAUUCUGUACAAGAAGAUAGUCGUCAUUGUUUAGCUUUACGUAUCGCAAACAAAGUUAAAGCUUAGAUCUACGUAAUAUCCUGAUAGAGAGCAGAUGAUUCAUUUCAUAACGAAAGGACAUGUCCCACAUCCUUCCCGUCCUCUUAAAAAGCCUGUUGGACUUCGUCAUGUGGGCCAUGCAGCGACUCUUUAAUGUACUUAUCACACCACAAACGCUUGGUCUGGAAUUGCCACAAAAACAGACUCGCACACGUGGAGCGGCGGCGGCGGUGCUCCUCCGCCCCGAGGAUCCGCUCAACGUCCGUUUUACCCAACAACACACACACACACCUGCACACAGAGAAUCACACAGGGCCUGGAUGGGGUCCUGGGGGCAUAGACGGAUGA